rnacentral:rRNA from 1 species
AUGGAUGAUAGCAAUGUGAGUGAUCAUGAGCUCAUAUUUAAUUCUAUUGCAUAUUGGAUUUUGUUUACUAUGCCUGUGAGAGAAAAAAAAUCAAAGUUAAAAUUGUUGAAGAACUACCUGAGAUCUACAAUGUCGCAAGAGAGGUUAAAUAGCUUGGCAACUUUAUGCAUUGAGAAAAAAUUGCUUGAAGAAAUUGAUAUUGAUACUAUCAUUACCGAUUUUGCAUCUCAGAAUGUUAGGAGAAAUUUUUGA